AGAGUUGUAUCCUGGCUCAGGAUGAACGCUAGCGGCAGGCCUAACACAUGCAAGUCGAGGGGUAACAGGAAAGCUUGCUUUUGCUGACGACCGGCGCACGGGUGCGUAACGCGUAUGCAACCUACCUCAUACUGGAGCAUAGCCCUUGGAAACGAGGAUUAAUACUCCAUGGUAUCAUGAAUUCGCAUGUUUUCAUGAUUAAAGAAUUUCGGUAUGAGAUGGGCAUGCGUCCCAUUAGCUAGUUGGUGAGGUAACGGCUCACCAAGGCGACGAUGGGUAGGGGGCCUGAGAGGGUGGUCCCCCACACUGGUACUGAGACACGGACCAGACUCCUACGGGAGGCAGCAGUGAGGAAUAUUGGUCAAUGGAGGCAACUCUGAACCAGCCAUGCCGCGUGAAGGAUGACGGCCCUAUGGGUUGUAAACUUCUUUUAUAUGGGAAGAAACUUAUCUACGUGUAGAUAACUGACGGUACCAUACGAAUAAGGAUCGGCUAACUCCGUGCCAGCAGCCGCGGUAAUACGGAGGAUCCAAGCGUUAUCCGGAUUCAUUGGGUUUAAAGGGUCCGUGGGCGGAUUUUUAAGUCAGUGGUGAAAGCCGACAGCUCAACUGUCGAACUGCCAUUGAUACUGGAGAUCUUGAGUACAAAUGAAGUAGGCGGAAUGAGUCAUGUAGCGGUGAAAUGCAUAGAUAUGACUCAGAACACCAAUUGC
rnacentral:rRNA from 1 species